CGGGGUAUAGCUCAGUCUGGUAGAGCGCACGUCUGGGGGACGUGAGGUCGCAUAGGUUCAAGUCCUGCUAUCCCGACCA
rnacentral:tRNA from 1 species